GGCGCGCACCCCUGGGGGCCUCCCCAGCCCGAUCCGGCCCCGCCUUGUGGUCCCCUGGGAGGGGGUAGAGAAAGAGCUUAAGGAGGCCGCUGGACCCAGGCCCGCGCCUCUGGACUGGAAGCGGGGCCCAGACUCGUGAGCCUGCUGUAACGUCCCCGACCUCGCUGAUGGCGUUGCCUGGGCUUUGCAAAUAUGCGGAGGAGACUCACGGGGCAUCUGGGCCUCAGCACUGAAAUCGACGGGAUUUCUCUGGCUGGUGUUUGAGCUGCCUGUAUCCGAAUAAAUCCAGCUCUCAAGCGUCCGGCAGGAAACGGCUCCGGGUUUGCGCGUACGCAGACGCAUCGGCCAGCGCGGGACGCGUUGUGGCUCCUCCUGUUCCGUGCCGCGGCAGGUCCGGCCUCUGAGGGAGGCUAGCCCAGCAGCGCCUUUAGGCCGAACGGCCGCUCGCGGCCCGGCAGUGCCUGGCAGCUCCCAUCUCCGGCGGUAGUCGGCAACCGCUGGGCCAAGUCCGCCCGCGGCGAAAACUGAAAGCAAAUUCCGCGGCAGAUGAAGCCCGAACUUUCUUGGACGCAAGUUUGCAGUAGAGAUUCGGUGGCGGCUUUGGGAGGACAGCGCGCUAGUGUGUGCGCGCGCAAGGUGGGGCGGUGGGCGAAGAGAGCACCCGGCGGCCGAGCCUGGCCCGAGGCGAAACACUAGGGAAGGCGCCUUCCCUUCUUUAUUUCUCGCCAACUCCUCGGCUCCUGUCCGUAAAAAUAGUUUCCAAGGUGCCUCGGACGCCCAGAAUGUGUUUAUGGGGAUCGCACCAGAGAAAGGAAGGCUUUGUAAAAGUUGUAGAAAGAGCUUUGCGCAGCGUUCGCCCAGCGGGGUUCAAGAAAGCUUGGGACUAGCUCGCCUUCCCUGGGGAGGAAUAGCCAGAAAUUGGCCUGGGGAGCCCCCUGCCUAGUCCUGUCCCCUCACCUCCAACCCACGAGUAUAUAAGCUCUCGCUGCCUGCGCUGCAAACUUCUCGGCGCGGCGCCGCGGUCAGCGGGCGAGGACAGGACGCAGAGCGGGCCGGCAAGGCCGCUCCUCGGAGCUCUCAGCCCCAGCCCUGAGUGAGGCUUGCGCGGAGGUGAGAGGACGAGUGUGGUUCCCGCUCCCACUUGGCUGCCGAAACCGUCAUCGCCGACCUCCCAACUCCCGGAGCCGGCGCUUCCCCUGGGAGCGGCGGUCUUGGGGGGCUGGCGAGGGCGCAAAGUGCGCGUGCGAAGCGAAGCGCACGAGGGCGGGGGCGGCCGCGGGUCUCUCCGCGGGGCCUGUCGCCGAGCCGGCCGCGGCGGGUGAGUGAUGAGGGCAGAGAAGGGCGCCCAUAAAUCGUGAGUGUCAGGGCGAAAAACUCUCUUUAUUGUCUGUGUGAUGGAUGGGCCCGGGGACGAGACACCAAAUACUUCGUAUCGCCUUUAAAUGGGAACACAUUUUCCGCGGCCAUAAUUCAUGUUUUUUAAAUAGAAAGUUUGAAAUGUUGCCUAUAUUUCACCGGCCCUGACAUAUUUAUGAAUCGCUCCCUGCAUGCAAAUAUCAUUAUUUAAAGCGCCGGGGAGAGCUGGGGGAGGGGAGGAGGCGCAGCCCCCGGGGCGUGGGGGUGGUGAACCGGGGAAAUGCGGAUGGAAGGGGGGCCAUCUCCCUAAAGUGCGGACGACGAGGCGCGGGGAAGCCGUAUCCGGAAACUGAGCUCACUGGGGGCUCCCCUCCUGCCGCCGGACCCCCGCACCGCAGCUCCGGGAAGUUUGCGCGGCUUGGGGCCGAGGACAGUCCCCCGCCCCCUGCUGGGAGACCAAGGGGCAUUUUGCGUCCCUCUCCGAGGCUCUGAUCCGAGCCUAAACCGCCUUUUCCAAGAAGGAAGUAAAAAAAAAAAAGAAUUUAACAAACGCAAAUAAUAACAAUCCAACAUGUUUCGUGUUCUUUGCCGUUGCAUCGAUUUUAUUGAUUUUCAUUCUGCAAAC
ensembl:lncRNA